UGGAAUAAGGUGUCAACCAGAUUUUC
rnacentral:piRNA from 1 species